rnacentral:rRNA from 1 species
UGGGGAAUAUUGGACAAUGGGCGAAAGCCUGAUCCAGCCAUGCCGCGUGUGUGAAGAAGGUCUUCGGAUUGUAAAGCACUUUAAGUUGGGAGGAAGGGCAGUAACCUAAUACGUUGCUGUCUUGACGUUACCGACAGAAUAAGCACCGGCUAACUCUGUGCCAGCAGCCGCGGUAAUACAGAGGGUGCAAGCGUUAAUCGGAAUUACUGGGCGUAAAGCGCGCGUAGGUGGUUUGUUAAGUUGGAUGUGAAAUCCCCGGGCUCAACCUGGGAACUGCAUUCAAAACUGACUGACUAGAGUAUGGUAGAGGGUGGUGGAAUUUCCUGUGUAGCGGUGAAAUGCGUAGAUAUAGGAAGGAACACCAGUGGCGAAGGCGACCACCUGGACUGAUACUGACACUGAGGUGCGAAAGCGUGGGGAGCAAACAGGAUUAGAUACCCCCGUAGUCCCUGAGCGGGCUGGCAAGGCGCAU